GAUGAACGCUGGCGGCGUGCCUAAUACAUGCCAGUCGAGCGAACAGAUGAGGAGCUUGCUCCUCUGACGUUAGCGGCGGACGGGUGAGUAACACGUGGAUAACCUACCUAUAAGACUGGGAUAACUUCGGGAAACCGGAGCUAAUACCGGAUAAUAUAUUGAACCGCAUGGUUCAAUAGUGAAAGACGGUUUUGCUGUCACUUAUAGAUGGAUCCGCGCCGCAUUAGCUAGUUGGUAAGGUAACGGCUUACCAAGGCAACGAUGCGUAGCCGACCUGAGAGGGUGGUCGGCCACACUGGAACUGAGACACGGUCCAGACUCCUACGGGAGGCAGCAGUAGGGAAUCUUCCGCAAUGGGCGAAAGCCUGACGGAGCAACGCCGCGUGAGUGAUGAAGAUCUUCGGAUCGUAAAACUCUGUUAUUAGGGAAGAACAAAUGUGUAAGUAACUAUGCACGUCUUGACGGUACCUAAUCAGAAAGCCACGGCUAACUACGUG
rnacentral:rRNA from 1 species